UACAGAGGUGGCAAGCGUUGCUCGGUAUCACUGGGCUUAAAGGGCGCGUAGGCGGUGCGGUACGGUUUCGGUGAAAUCCCUCGGCCCAACCGAGGAACAGCCGGGGCUACGGCCGCGCUCGACGGCAUCAGGGGACAGUGGAACUCCCGGUGGAGCGGUGAAAUGCGUAGAUAUCGGGAGGAACGCCGGUGGCGAAAGCGACUGUCUGGGGUGCCUGUGACGCUGAGGCGCGAAAGCUAGGGGAGCAAACGGG
rnacentral:rRNA from 1 species